GAGUUUGAUCCUGGCUCAGAUUGAACGCUGGCGGCAGGCCUAACACAUGCAAGUCGGGCGGUAGAGAGAAGCUUGCUUCUCUUGAGAGCGGCGGACGGGUGAGUAAUGCCUAGGAAUCUGCCUGGUAGUGGGGGAUAACGCUCGGAAACGGACGCUAAUACCGCAUACGUCCUACGGGAGAAAGCAGGGGACCUUCGGGCCUUGCGCUAUCAGAUGAGCCUAGGUCGGAUUAGCUAGUUGGUGAGGUAAUGGCUCACCAAGGCGACGAUCCGUAACUGGUCUGAGAGGAUGAUCAGUCACACUGGAACUGAGACACGGUCCAGACUCCUACGGGAGGCAGCAGUGGGGAAUAUUGGACAAUGGGCGAAAGCCUGAUCCAGCCAUGCCGCGUGUGUGAAGAAGGUCUUCGGGAUUGGUAAAGCACUUUAAGUUGGGAGGAAGGGCAGGUAAAUUAAUACUUUGCUGUUUUGACGUUACCGACAGAAUAAGCACCGGCUAACUCUGUGCCAGCAGCCG
rnacentral:rRNA from 1 species